rnacentral:tRNA from 1 species
GGUCAGGAGAUCGGGUGACCACAGACUGAAAAUCGGAAGGUCGGCGGUUCGACCCCGCCCCUGGCCA